AUUGAACGCUGGCGGCAGGCCUAACACAUGCAAGUCGAACGAGUGGCAGACGGGUGAGUAAUGUCUGGGAAACUGCCCGAUGGCGGGGGAUAACUACUGGAAACGGUAGCUAAUACCGCAUACCAUCGGAUGUGCCCAGAUGGGAUGAGCUAGUAGGAGGGGUACCGGAUCACCUAGGCGACGAUCCCUAGCUGGGCUGAGAGGAUGACCAGCCACACUGGAACUGCGACACGGACCAGACUCCUACGGGAGGCAGCAGUGGGGAAUAUUGCACAAUGGGCGCAAGCCUGAUGCAGCCAUGCCGCGGGUAUGAAGAAGGCCUUCGGGUUGUAAAGGACUGUCAGUCGGGAGGCGUUACCCGCAGAAGAAGCACCGGCUAACUCCGUGCCAGCAGCCGCGGUAAUAC
rnacentral:rRNA from 1 species